GAUUCAGUGAAGCUGCUCUCUGAUGUACUACAGAAUCCUCACUGUAAACUGGAGAAACUGAGGUUGAAUGAUUGUGGUAUCACAGAAGAAGGUUUUUCUGCUCUGGCUUCAGCUCUGAGAUCAAACCCCUCACACCUGAGAGGACUGGACCUAUCUGAAAAUAACCUAGGAAAUUCAGUGAAGCUGCUUUCAGAUGUACUACAGAAUCUUCACUGUAAACUGGAGGAACUGUGGUUGUGGGAUUGUGGCGUAACAGAAGAAGGUUGUUCUGCUCUGGCUUCAGCUUUGAAAUCAAACCCGUCACACCUGAGAGAACUGCAUCUGUCAAGGAAUAAUCUUGGAAAUUCAGUGAAGCUGCUCUCUGAUGUACUACAGGAUCCUCACUGUAAACUGGAGACACUGAGGUUGUGGGAUUGUGGUAUCACAGAUGAAGGUUGUGCUGCUCUGGUUUCAGCUCUGAGAUCAAACCCCCUCACACCUGAGAACUGGAUCUGUCUGGCAAUAAACUAAGAGAUUUUAGUAUGAAGUUACUCUCUGAUCUGAAGAAGGAUCCACAUUAUAACCUGGAGACAUUAGACUAUUUUUUCAUCUGUUAGUCCAGUUUCCUCAAGAUCAGCUGAUGGUGAAUAAGGAGCUGCUUCAGAGACAUCACAGGCACACAAUCAACAAAUUUAGUGAUGUUCAUUCUGGUUCAUUUUCCUGAUCAAGUCCCAAUGCUUGUUAUCCAAUUAUUGACUGUUAACUGAAAAUUAGAAUGUUAAAUUUAGAUUUUAAUUAAUUUGGAAUGGUAAGUGUAUGUGACUCCAAAUUUUGUCUAAAUUUUUUUCUAGAUGUUAGUAUUUUUACAACCAAUAAUUUUAUAUCUGAUUGUUUUCCGAUUUAUAUUUUGGCACCUAAUUUUACACUAAAUCCAAAUAGCAAUGGAUUCUAUUUAUACUAACUCAAAUAGCUGCAGUAUUUAGUAAUAUACUCUUUACACUAAGUGCAAAUAGCAUUUUCUGCUAUUUAUACUACUUACUGCAAGUGGAAAUUAGCUUGGGACAUCAAGUUCAGUAUGGGACGGUUCUAUUUCUGUUAUAAUGUCAUAAAUGGUAGAAGGUAGGGGCCAUUUAAGGAAUGCUUGAACCUUGCUCUAAUCUAGUGGUCUGCAACAGGCAAUAAUAUUUGGCCCACUCCUGCAGAUUAUUUUGAUAUCGGCUGGUUCUAAAAUAGAUAGUCAUGACAGCAACAGUUACACACAAACUACAAGACCCACAAUGCAAUGCAGCAAAUGGGUGCGGAGUCAGACACGUUAGUCACAGGUGUGUAUUCAUAGUAUGGUAGUUUGACCGCUAAAUGGAGCCUUUUGUUUAUUGAGUGAAAAAGUGAACAUAGAAUGUGCUGAACCUGAAAUGAAGAGACGGAAUUUACCGUGUUAUGAAAGAUUUGUUCGCUUGCUACCCGGUGGAGGAGGGCUAGGAUUCGGAAGUACCUGCAAGCUGCUUCUUUCCUCGCGGAGACUGGACGGCCAAAAGAUGAACCUUCGGGAGUACAAGUCCCGCAACGGAGUCUUCAGCAGGAGAUGAUGGUGUCCUUUUAAUGCUGCACAGUGGACGAGGAUCUGUCCGUUCAUGACUCGUUAAACAGACUACACGGGAUUGGAGCGCUGUAAUCUGGAGGGAGUUUCGGCUUGGCCUGUAAGCAUUGACUGAGCGUUGGACUCCAGGUAGGCCGUGAACUAUUCACUCAACUACCUCAACGGAGAUAAACCUGACCUAAGCAACAGUGACUCUUAAAGAAAAGGGGUUUAGCGGACGCACCUCACGCGCACUUACUCACACGUGCAGACGGCGUGCGUGCACCCACCAACAGCAGUCUUUAAGUGUGAGGAAAAAACUAGUGUAAGAUGUAAACUGUGACUUUCCGGGAACAGCGUCACUACGUCACAAUUGGUAACGAGUAAAAUUUAAUACAAGCAGCAUUGACUUCAAACAUCCCCAAGGCCAAAAUAAACCAAUAAACCAUACAAUUAAAUUAUAUAAAUUACCUAAUGAUAAAGAAAAUAAAAUGCUAAUUAACUUCCCCAGCUCCCUAUUUUGUAUGUAUGUCCUGCUGUGUUAUAAUUUAUAACAGGAUUGUAUAACGUAGAGUCAGAGACGUUUGGAUCCAUUUGCUAGCUCUUUGAGAAUGGUCUAACAGGCAGAAAGUCAACAACAGUGUCAGGGAUAUAUGAGACAGGGUCAGAAUCAUAAACAGUACCAGGCAAGGGUCGAGACAGGCAGUGUGUAUCAGAGUCGAUAAAUCCAGGCAAGGGGUCAAUAGGUAGGCUGCCCAAGGUAAACACAGGAAGACAACAGUAUGAUAUAUACACGCUCAGACUUAUUAGCUGGGGCAAGGACAAGAGCAUAGCUUACAUAGCUGGUCUAUUGAGGUACACCUGGGUAGAUAAUCAGUCUAGGGUGAAGGGCCUUAUGGGAAACGAAGUUCAGAAUGUUUUGUACUCAGGAAAGGGUUCCCUUUGGUGGCUGUCGGAGAGAGCCACAGAGGCACGGUUCAUGACAGAUCGCAGCCCUGUAGUAAUAAUUUUUUAUAAUCAUAGUGGUUACUUUUAUUUUAGGACAGUUCUGGAGAAAAUGGGGCUGCUGGCAAGCUUAAAAAUAUAAUGAAGUUGAUCUGUACAUUAAUUUAGUUUUUUAUUAACAUAAAAAAACUAAAAUUACAUACAGACCAAUUUUAUUCUUUCCAUUUUUCAGUUCCCAAAAUAAUUUGUUAUUUGUAAAUUAACCAAAGUAAUAUUUGUGCAGUAUUUUAUUUAUAAUUUAUUUAGUAGUUUAUUAUUUUAGUAGUUGAUGCAUGCAAAUAAACGGCAAGAAAUCCUGAGAAUUGUUUAUUUUUGCAAAGCAUGUUAUAAUUUGAAAAUAAAGAUAAAUUGUUCUUUGUACUUAGUUUCAGUAACUACUAAUAAUGCAUUAAGGAAAAACUUACUUACCUUUAAUCAAAUGUUUUGUCUUUUAAUAGUCUACUUGCAGUAGGCCUAUGAUAAUCUGCAUAAAUUAAAAAUAUAUCAUGGUCUUGCAUUAAUGUUACUGCCGCACUACUGUACUGUAUGUUUCAUUUGACUUCAGAAUAGGCUCAACAUUGUUACAUUUAACAUACUUUAUGUAGGCGACUGUUGUGCAGUGUAAUGUACAUAUUGUAAAAUAUGCAAUAUGUACAUUACACAAUACCCACACUUCAAGUGCACAGAAUGCAAGUGUGGGUAUUUUGGGCAAAGCCUGAGUUUCAUUUCCAUAACUUUUUUUCUGUGAGUUCUGCUUUUCUGCUGAAUGAGGCGUGUCUUUAGUGUUUCAUAUCUUUAUUUGUAAGGAAAUCGCUUCGUUGCUGUUUCUGGUGCAUUUCAAUAUUAGUGUUCACGAAAGACACAAGUAUUUAAGUAAAUGCGGAUUCUUGACUCUCAGGAUCAUUCAGUGAAUAAUUAGUUAGUCAUUUCCACACAGAGUCAGUGUUGGGGAUCUCGCUCUUCAUCAUGAAUUGCUCAC